rnacentral:rRNA from 1 species
UACAGAGGGUGCAAGCGUUGUUCGGAAUUAUUGGGCGUAAAGCGCGUGUAGGCGGCUUUGCAAGUCGGGUGUGAAAUCCCUCAGCUUAACUGAGGAAGUGCGCCCGAAACUGCCGAGCUUGAGUGCCGGAGAGGAUGGCGGAAUUCCCCAAGUAGAGGUGAAAUUCGUAGAUAUGGGGAGGAACACCGGUGGCGAAGGCGGCCAUCUGGACGGUGACUGACGCUGAGACGCGAAAGCUAGGGGAGCAAACAGG